AUGACAAGAAUGUGCGUCGUCGCUUUCGGGCAAGUAACUACCAGAGCACCACCCGGGUCAAACCCUUCAUCUGCACCAUGCCCAUGCGGCUGGAUGACGGCUGGAACCAGAUUCAGUUCAACUUGCUAGACUUCACACGGCGAGCAUACGGCACCAAUUACAUCGAGACCCUCAGAGUGCAGAAUCCAUCCCUAAGACAAGCCAAGGAGAUGCCGGAGAUGACGCGUUUCCAGUCCUGGAAGAGGGCCUCUAGAAGAUUCAGGAAAAGGGGGAGAA
rnacentral:ncRNA from 2 species